GAUGAACGCUGGCGGCGUGCCUAGUACAUGCAAGUCGAGCGAACGGACGAGAAGCUUGCUUCUCUGAUGUUAGCGGCGGACGGGUGAGUAACACGUGGAUAACCUACCUAUAAGACUGGGAUAACUUCGGGAAACCGGAGCUAAUACCGGAUAAUAUUUUGAACCGCAUGGUUCAAAAGUGAAAGACGGUCUUGCUGUCACUUAUAGAUGGAUCCGCGCUGCAUUAGCUAGUUGGUAAGGUAACGGCUUACCAAGGCAACGAUGCAUAGCCGACCUGAGAGGGUGAUCGGCCACACUGGAACUGAGACACGGUCCAGACUCCUACGGGAGGCAGCAGUAGGGAAUCUUCCGCAAUGGGCGAAAGCCUGAUGGAGCAACGCCGCGUGAGUGAUGAAGGUCUUCGGAUCGUAAAACUCUGUUAUUAGGGAAGAACAUAUGUGUAAGUAACUGUGCACAUCUUGACGGUACCUAAUCAGAAAGCCACGGCUAACUACGUG
rnacentral:rRNA from 1 species